rnacentral:lncRNA from 1 species
UAUGUGAAAACCGAGACUCCGCAGGCUCCCUCCUGGAGACCUAGCUCUCAGUUUGCCUUCUGCCCUAUGGUUUGUGGGUGGAGCUAAUGGAAAAGACACCUGGGAAGUGGACAGAAAGAAGACGUCACUGCCAGAAUACAAGACACCUUGACCAGGAUAAAUACAGACAGACUUAGGUCCCUGCCACCCCUUGGGAGAUCGUUCAGGACACCCCGUUUGAAGCCCUAAAUUCUGACAUGUUGGAUUGGUUACAAGACCGCCUCUUCCGAGAGGCAGAAGUGAGUUUCACUCCCACCCACGCUCAGGAUGUUAAGACAUUUGCAGAAUGAUUUGUUCUGGACCAGGGGAGAACACUCAUGUGAAAGCAUGCCAUGUCUCUUCCUCCAGGUGCCCCUCAGUGGCCUGAAUACCAGAGUGGCUUCUGCAAGAAAAAUGAGACAGAGAAGCAGACAGAGGUCAACAGGCUGAGAUGACUUUGUGGGAGCAGCAAGGGAUCCCUACUCCCUCCCACCCGCAUGAAAGCUGAGUAUAUUCAGAGGGCUGGGGGAAUAUGUGCGUAUACAUGGGGGAUAUGUGCAUGCAUAUACAUGGGUAGCUACCAGAAGUUACAGCUCUGUGUAGGUGUGUGUGUGUGUGUGUGUGUGUGGAGGGGGUUGACUGGGAGCAAGGUAGUUUGUUGUUUGUUUGAUUGCUUGUUUUAGAUAAUUGGACAUAUUAUAUCUGUAGGUGGAAUACAGUGGUCAGGCUAAACCAUUCUUUAUGGCUAUGGGCUAUGCCCAGUACAACCUGACUCACUUCAUCAUGACUUGAGUCUAUUACCCAACGGCUUCUACCACCUUCCAAUGGAAACUAUCCAACAGCUUAUCGCCCAGUGGUUAUUGUUGUGUUUAUAAAAAGAUAAAGAGAGGGGAGAGAUGUUCUAUGGAGGUGUGGUCAGGCAUGGGGGAAGGGAGUACCUUGGUGGGUCCAUGCUGAGGCAUCCCUUCCCCAUGAGGGACCAGCCACAUGACAACGGUAUAGUAUAGAAUAGAGUUUAUUCAGGGCAUGGGAGGGGAGUUAAGAGGGUAGUAGAGGCAGAAAGGCAG